GUGGGCGGUGCGCGGCGCGCGGGCCGUCCUCUCGCACACGCGGCCUUGGAGGCGGGUGUCUGACCCUUGGUCUACCGCUUGUUGAGACCCCUUCCCCCUCGGGUCAGAGGCGCCUUUGCGCUCCGGUUCUUAGCCUUCUCUCGGUUCCCCGGCGACAGAAAGAUGACACAGAGACAUAGAGAGGGAAAGGCCUUGAGACAUGGAGAAGUCGAGACCCAGUUACCACCAAGAAGUGAAGUCCCAGACACAUGUACCUGGUGAACCCAUCCCAGCUGAGGGACCAGUCAUUGAGGGAAGAAGCCACCUAGGUUGUCCCAGCCAUCUGAGCUGUUCCUCAUUACCUGGAACAGAGCGUCCUACAGGGGCUGUGUAGAAUGAGGUGGGGAUGGAAGACAUGGCCCUACCCUCUGGCAAGAACCCAGUCAGAUGGAGGUGGCUUACAUGAAGCUAUGGCCUGGCUUCAGGAAGCACUGCUCUCCCUACUCCCCCAGGCCAGAAAUGGAACCAGACUUUCCCUUCUUUCUUCACAGCAAAACUGAAGCCAGGCUGUGAAGUUUCACAUAAUUUUACGAAUACUCAGAGAUAAGAGAAAAUGGUUUGCGUCCACAGGGCAGCAAUAUGGCUGCCCUAGAACCUUGCUACAGCAAAUGUUUUCCUCUUUAAUCUACUCCCUUCUCUGGUUCUCUUUCCUUAGCCAUGUUUUGCUCAAAUGACCUUACCUUAAAAAAAACAAAAUCUGGGACGCCUGAGUGGCUCAGUCGGUUAAGCGUCCGACUUCCACUCAGGUCGUGAUUUAGCAGUUCGUGAGUUCGAGCCCCAUGUCGGGCUCUGUGCUGACAGCUCAGAGCCUGGAGCCUGCUUCAGAUUCUGUGUCUCCCUCUCUCUGCCCCUGCCCGCUCACACUCUGUUUCUCUGUAUCUCAAAAAUGAAUAAACGUUAAAAAAAAUUUUUUAAUAAGAAACAAACA